rnacentral:rRNA from 1 species
CGAAAGAUUGAUUCAGUUACUUAUUAGAAUGAUAUAAUAUAAAAAUUAUCUAUUUAUUUAUAUAAUAUAUAUUAUAUAAAUAAAUAAUAUAUAAUAAUAAUUAUAAAUUGAUUAAAAAUAAAAUUCAUAAAUAGUGAAAAUAAUGAUAUUAGCUACCAUAGGUAACCAUACUCCCCUUUUAAGGGGGGGGGUAUAGCUACCAUUAAAAUAUAUAAUGGAUAUAAUUUAUAUAUAAUGUAUAGAUUAUAUUUUAAUAGUCCUAACCAAGAUUUGUGCCAGCAGCUGCGGUAAUACAAUGAGGGCUAGCGUUAAUCAUAAUGGCUUAAAGGGUCCGUAGAAUUAUAUAUAAAAAUAUAUUAGAGUUAAUAAAUUUAAUUAAAGAAUUAUAAUAGUAAAGAUGAAAUAAUUAUAAUAAUUAUAAGACUGGUAUAUGUGAAAAUAUUAAUUAAAUAUUAACUGACAUUGAGGGACGAAAGCUAGAGUAUCAAUACGGAUUCGAUACCCGAGUAGUUCUAGCUGUAAACUAUGAACACCAUAUAAAUAAAUAAUUUAUUUAUAUAAAUGAAAAUGUAAGUGUUCCGCCUGAAGAGUACGUUCGCAAGAAUGAAACUCAAGACAAUAGACGGUUACAGACUUAAGCAGUGGAGCAU